rnacentral:lncRNA from 1 species
CUAUUUAGCAAAAUAUUUUCAUGUCUUCACAGAACUUUUCUUCAUAAGCUAUUAAAAUGCUACAUAUACUGAGGAAAAACAUUAACAUCUUUACUUUUGUUCCUCUGCUCAUCUUAGUUGUCUUUGCCUGUUUAAUACAAAAAGUGAUGUGAAAAAGUGAUGAAGUAAAAAAAUGGUAAGGCCUGCCUGUGGCUUCCAAAUGGAUAAAGCCUUGGAUGCAGUGGGACAAAGAGAAGCCAGUCCCUGGAAUGAAGGAUCUGAGCUGAGCAGUCUCAAUUGAAUGAGCUGGAGCGAGAGAAAUCCUUGCAUAUCCCAUGAUUUCCUUCUGCUGAGAAACUGUGGUGGGUUGCCUAUAACUCAGCAAGAUUGCAUUUUUGUUCUGGGUGAAAAGAGCAUCUGCAACAUGGAUAUAUUAUGUGCUCUAGAUAGCCAUGCUGACCCCUCAAAGUCCAAGGAGACAUUUCAGCUGGUGAAUUAAGGCACCAAUGUGCAUUGAGGCACCAAUCUCCAUUCUCCAGAUUUAUUUUCUGUCAUGGAAGCGUCAGUAAUGAAAAAAAGGUUUGUGCACUAUAUCUCAGGCAGGUGCAGGUGGGUUUGCCUGUGCUAAAAGCUGAUUUGUGUCAUGUGA